AACUUUAUAUCAUUUUUGUUUUUGUAAAGAUUUGUGUUUUUUGGGAAUAUGACAACAUAUAAAGGUGUGAAACAUUCUGUAUUACUUUUGUCAAGUGAGAGUUUUGAUAAAAUAUUUUGACAAAAUAAUCUUUGGAAGACAGCAUGAAAGAUGUAACUUUUUAAAAUUUGCUUAUUGAAAUGUGCAUGAAAGAUGCAACUUUUUAAAUUUUGCUUAUUGAAAUGUGCAUGCUUCACACACAGAGUACCAGCAUAAGCUCAGCUGUGCUAAAAUGAGUCUUGGAAACAGUAUCCAGAAGGCAGUUGCACUUGAUGAUAAAAGAUAUGUAUUUGCAUUUGCAUAGUGUUCUAGCACAUACAGAUAGUUGAGAUUUUUAAAUGAUGCAACGGGGAAGCUGGAAGGUUUCUCUAAGUUUUAUUAGUUCUAUUACAUCAGAAAUGGCAGUCAACCUUUCCUGGAAAACACUGGAUCCACUGUUAUGUUCUGCAAAAUAUUGUAUCCUAAGGCUCCCAGAAUCUCAGACCACUGACCAAAUAGAUGGAACUGCUGGGACUAGGAAAAAAAAGACAUUUGGAGGCUCAGGAUUUGUAUGCUUGCAGUUUUCAAGAGCUCUUGAAAGAUCUGGAAGAGACAACUGGCUUUAAAUUCAACUUAGUUGCCCAUUGGCCAACAAGUUGAUGUGGACAGGCUUCCUUGACAACAAGAUAUUUGAAGUGCACUAGGUAUAGACUGAAUUAAAUAGAUGAACUCAAUCUUCCCCACACCUGUAGUUUCUAUAGUUUUACUUCCUGUACUUUACCUACUUUCUCUGAAUGCAAGCAAAGCAUUUUUUUUCCUGUCCUUUCCAUUUUUACCAGCCCUUUCUCCUUCCUCAAAGGGACUUACAGGUUUAGGGUUCAUAGUUUAGCUUGCUCAUACUGCUUUUGGGGGCUGAAAACAUUAAUCACUAAAUUAGUCUCAACCUACUCUCCCUACCACAUUUUGGUGGAGCAGAAUAAAAUCCAUGUAGAAAUGACUAAGUCAAACUUAUUAUUCUUAUUACAGUGGAAAAUUCCAGUUACAGUAGAGUCUCACUUAUCCAAACUUCGCUUAUCCAACGUUCUGGAUUAUCCAACGCAUUUUUGUAGUCAAUGUUUUCAAUACAUCGUGAUAUUUUGGUGCUAAAUUCGUAAAUACAGUAAUUACUACAUAGCAUUACUGUGUAUUGAACUACUUUUUCUGUCAAAUCUGUUGUAUAACCUGAUGUUUUGGUGCUUAAUUUGUAAAAUCAUAACCUAAUUUGAUGUUUAAUAGGCUUUUCCUUAAUGCCUCCUUAUUAUCCAACAUAUUCACUUAUCCAACAUUCUGCUGGCCCGUUUAUGUUGGAUAAGUGAGACUCUACUGUAUUAAUUUAAUGAAUCAAAGGGCAGAUAUUUUACCUGAUUCGACAAAGGAUAGUAGAAUUAAUAUGAUAUCUGUUUAUUAAAGCCAACUAGAGCAUCAUAGAGCAAUUACAGUGCUAUUUCCUUUGAAGUUUUCCACAAAUGAACUAGGCUAGUGACCUGUAAUUGUUGUCUAAUAUAAAAGUAAUAAUAGAUAGGGUGGUGUGUAUGUGUGUUUUUUGUCUUUUCUCAUCUCUUUCCUGUGCUUAACUGUUAGGUGGCUUGGAAGUCCUUCUUUGCCUCUUUCUAUAAGUUAAUUAUUCUCACUAAUAUCUCACCUAGAAUGCAUUUUAAAAGAAUAAUAGAAUAGAUUAUGCAGCAUCCAUAUUGCAUUGAGCCCUAUAUGAGGCCAAUCAAAAGAUACAAAAUAUAAAACAGACUUCUUCAGGCAAAGAUAAAAUGCAUGUAGAGGAAAGAAGGUUAAAAUCAUGGAUUCUUCAUCUUGCUUUAAGGUGGUACAGAAUAAUCAGUGUAGAGCAGGCAUGGGCAAACUUGGGUCCUCCAGGCGUUUUGGACUCCAACUCCCACAAUUCCUAACAGCCUAUCAGCUGUUAGGAAUUGUGGGAGUUGGAGUCCAAAACACCAGGAAGACCCAAGUUUGCCCAUGCCUGUUGUAGAUCAACCCUGGGAAACUUGUCAAUAAUAAGGAACCAAAAUUAGAUAGGAUAAGGGACCACAAAAUAGGUUUGUAGCACCUUACUUUCCAAGUAAGGUACAAUUAAUGAUUAAUUUGGAUUGUUGCUGUUGUAUACCUUCAAGUCAUUUCAGACUUAGGAUGACCUUAAGACCACUCUAUCACAGAGUUUUCUUAUCAAGAUUUAUUAAAAGGUGAUUUUCCUUUGUCUUCCUCUGAGGCUAAGAGAGUGUGACUUGCCUAAAGUCACCCAGUGGGUUCAGAGUCAUAGUCUGAGCUUCAAACCACUUACACCAUGCUUUCUGAAUUCUGAAUUCCUUCCCUCUCUUUCCUACCUCUCUUCCUUCCUUUUCUCUCUCCCUCCUUCCUUCUCCCUUCCUUCCUUCCUUCCUUCCUUCCUUCCUUUCUUUCUUCUCCCCUAGGAUUCUAGAUGUCAGAUUUUAAUUUUUUUCAAAAAGAGAUUAUAACAAAAUACAUUAUUUCAAAAUAAAUAACAGCCUAGAUAAAAUCAUUUUAAGUAAUAGUUUUCAUUUGAGUAGACUGAAUUUACUUAGAUUUUGUCACUACAAAAUAUUCCAAUUUAAAUGGAUAUCUACAUAAACAUACAUUUCAGCUGUAAUCCUAAAUUGUGGGCAUGGAUGGCAGAGAGUUUCUGGGUAAUUUUGUCCUUGUCGGUUCUCCAGCAUCCAAAAGACACUUGGUGUGUGGUUAGACAAGCUGCUUUUAAAAUUUCUCCGGUUAAAUUUGAGGCAAUGAACCAUGUUUGUAUGUGGUGAACUUCUGUAGGGUUUUGCUUCAGCUAGUGGUGACCUGUGGGGUAUGUUUCUUUUACCCUUUUCCCCAUUGUGUAUGCCUUGUGUUUGCCUGGAUCCUUUCUUAUUCAGUGUGACUGCAAGGAAUGAAGUUGCAAAGUGAUGUUAUUUGCGAAAAUAAUUACCGUAUAUACUCAAUUAUAAGCCGACCCGAAUAUAAGCCGAGGCACCUAAUUUUACCACAAAAACUGGGAAAUCUUACUGACUCGAAUAUACGUGGGGGUGGGAAAUGUUAAAUUUCCCUGUUAAAGCUACUGUUAAAUUUCAAAAAUAAAAAUAGAUUCCAAUAAAAUUACAUUAAUUGAGGCAUCAGUGGGUUAAAUGUUUUUGAAUAUUUACAUAAAACUGUAAUUUAAGAUAAUAAUAAGACUUUAAUAAGAUAAGACUGUAUAAAUCCAAUUACUUAUUACUUAUAUACUUGAGUAUAAGCCAGCCGAAAUAUAAGCCAACCAAGACCCUCACUCGAGUAUAAGCCGAGGGCUGAAAAAUAGGGCGGAAAAAAUCGUCUUAUACUCGAGUAUAUAUGGUAUUCUUAUUCACUAUGUAUUGUAAUAACUGUGUUAAUUUGUCUGGAGGGUAUAUAAAUUGAUGUCAGUAAUGGAAACUGUCUUUGUUUGCCGUGGCAGUAGUGAUAAUGAAACCAAAUGUUUUAAAGUUCAAUAGUGAAAAUAAAAUUUAAAAAAAAAACAGGAAAUACCUGCUAAGAUGGUAGUGGAAUAUGUUAGGACUAAACUAACAUUGGGUUAGUAGAAAAUAUUGCAAAAAUAUUGCCUUGUUCUUUUAGAAAGCAAUUGGAAAUGUUUUUCCCAUUUCUGUUCCUAUGUUUGGGAGGAGAAUCACAAGGCUCAUUUUGCCUCAUUUUCCAGGUGGCUACAAGGAAACAAUAGGUAACAUGAUCUCUGCCUUUAAUUCCUCCCUCACUAUUUUUGGAGAAAAAACCUAACACUCUCCAAAUUCCUUCUUCCAGAAUGCGAAAGGGAAACUAUAUGUUAACUGCCCUGAGUCCCUCUGUGGAGAGAGGGCGGUCUAGAAAUAAAGUAUUAUUAUUAUUAUUAUUAUUAUUAUUAUUAUUAUUAUUAUUAUUAUUAAUAAUAAUAACAACAACAACAACUAUGAAAUGCAUUAAGGCAAAGUUUUUGUAAAGCUUUUCAACAAUAGCUUGAUCAACUUUUUUCACAAUUUAACUGAGUUCUAAAUUAUUGGUAUUUUAUAUGAUAGUUUAUUCCGUUGAAAGCAAUUCUUUACAUGUUUACUUUAUUUAUAUCACAUGAGAUUUCUAGUUGCAUUUUGGUAUAAGCCAGCCAUCUUUGGUCCCAUACCACAAAAAAUGUGGGAUAUAAAAUUAAUGGAUACAUAUAUGAAAUCUUAAUAAAUAAAAGCAGGAAGGGUUUUGUAGUAUAGUUUUAUUCUUAAUCAUGUCUGCACAGAAAUCUUAGUUGUUUGCAUACAUCCUUGAGCUUAUGGAGUUCAAGAAUUGCUGUAUAAAACCAAAAAUCCAGUAGUGGAAUUCCAGAGAUUUCUCAAUUGUACAAGUUUUGGAGAAUAUUAUUGCAGAGAUGAUUUACUUUAAUUUAUAUCAUGGGGUGUCUACAAUCCUGUAAGAUGAAUUAUCAGAUUUCAACAAGGUUAAAUUCCUAGCAAGCCCUAUUUUCUUCUGGCAUGACAGUACUGAUGCAAAGUGAGGUUGCCGUAACCAGAUUAGUUAACUUUGUUGUGAUCUGUUCCUGCAAUCAACAGAAGUGAUUUCAAGCAGAGAACACAUGGCCAUGUUACUGCCUUAUGAUUAUCUAUUUUUAAAAGGGGGUAACAAAAGGUAACACAGGAAAAUAACAUAAAUGAGGUUAGUGUAACUAUCACACUUUGUCAGAGAUGGCCCUUUUAUCAAAACAUGAACCAGGAAGACUCUUCCAGUUGACACUAUCUCUUUCUAUCACAAACAAGGACUGAACUCUGUGAACCAGCUGUGUAACAGGCUCCCUUGUGGUUAUCGACAUAGGAGUGACUUUUCUCCUCCACAAGCUUCUUUGAUGGCAGGUGCAUUUUGCCUUUCAAAGGAAACCAAAGAAUAACAAUAACUACUUGGUGUUGAACAAAUGCCUGGUAGUUUUCUUUUUGUUCCGUUUCUUUUACAUUACCUUGGUUCCUAGGUUUCUUUAUAAAUAAAUAAAGGCAGUGCUAAUAACAGUUCUUGUGCAUUUCAAAGGGGCAUUAUUCACCCCGGGAUAAAGUUACACUAUACAAAUUGUAGCUUGUGGAUCACUGUAUUUGGAGAGUUGUGGCAAAUUGGUUUACAAUGAAUGUUGGGUUUGAAAUGGAAGAUGGGAUGGGAUGGUGGACGAGGAAUAUGAACAAUUAUUUUAUAAUAUAAGAUUGACAGAAAUCCCUAAAUAUAAUUAAAACAACUAAAAUUCUUUAAAAAGAAUGCAGAAUCAGGAAUUCAAAUUCUAAUUUCCAGUACUAAGACCAUAGAACUAUCUAAACAUGGAUGAUAAUUUUAAAAUAUAGUCAAGGUUAAAAAUUUGUCAGAUUCUAUCUAUGUGUAUAAAGUUUGAACAGCAGACUUCUGCUAAAUGAGCUGGAGACUGCUAUGAACAAUAAAAAAGCAAAGUUAUUUGGAUGACACUUAAUUGUCCAGACUGAUAAACUCCAAAGCAACUGAACAAUCAUACUAUGCUUUUUUCCAAGGCGAAGUGCGUUAAAGCACUGAGCUGGAGACCGAAAGGUCCCAGGUUCAAACCUUGGGAGCGGCGUGAGCAGCCGCUGUUAGCUCCAGCUCCUGCCAACCUAGCAGUUCGAAAACAUGCCAGUGUGAGUAGAUCAAUAGGUACCGCUCUGGCGGGAAGGUAACAGCGCUCCAUGCAGUCAUGCCGGCCAUAUGACCUUGGAGGUGUCUACAGACAACGCCGGCUCUUUGGCUUUGAAAUGGAGAUGAGCACCAACCCCCAGAGUCAGACAUGACUGGACUUAACGUCAGGGGAAACCUUUACCUUUUACUGUGCAUUAUGCUAUACUGUAUAUAUUGUGUAUAAGUUGUCUUCAUGUAUAAGUUAGGGGCAGAUUUGGGGGUCAAAAUUAUGGAUUUCUCUAUUCUAAGUCUAGGAUAAAAAUUCACAUAAUGUAACAGAUCUCUCCUUUUAAAAAUAGAGAGAACAUCUAAGGAGAAGGUUUGUAUCUGUUUGAGGAGAUUCAAUAAAUGUAAGUGUGCAAAUUGUGGUGCUCAUCUUAAAAUGUCUUCAUCUACACAGAUAGGGAAAAGAAUAUAAAUGAGGAAAAAUAAUGAGAAGGUGUCCCAAAUGUAAAGGAUAGUGGUAGCAAGGAAACCAAUCUUCCUACAUUAGUGCAAAGGGAGUGGUGUAGCAAUAGAGCUCCCACCCCAUUACUCUUCUCUUGCACAAACUGGAGUAAGAAAGGUAGCCCUCUGUUCUUCCUUUUCAGCUCAUUUGGCAUCCAGUAACAAUGGGGAAAGACAGUUUCAACAUUUGAGGUGGAAUGUGGCACUGGUCAUUUUACUGUAUAACUCUCACAAGGCUUUGCAGUCUCUGCAGAGAAGUUUAUACAGUUAACCCCCAUUAAAAAUGGCCACUGUAGUCUCUCGAAGUUACUUGAUGCACACGCACACACACACGUGCCAGUUGACCUUCUCUACUGUGGAUCCUGCGUCCUGAAGCAGCCAGGAUAGAUGGCAGGCCCAUUUCCCUACCAUAAUGUUAAGGACAGCAUCAUGCUCUACAAGAUUUAAGAUAAAAUAAAUCAGUUUAAAAGAUGACAUAAAAGUAACAUUUAUAUUAAAAACUUUGGAUUUACAUAAUAAAACAUACAAUUAUAUCAGAAAUUAUCUCAAAGUACUAUAUAUACUAGCUUUUGUCAUCACAGUUUUUUCAGUAACUUCAGUAAAAUCAACUUACUUAGCUAAAUCAUUUUUGAUGUAUAAAAUUGUGAGAUGAUUAAGUCACUCUUAACUAGUUGUACUUUGCCAUGGCUGCUGAUCCUUCAGUUUAGAAAAAAAAUUUUGUUCGAUGGACAAAAUAAAAUCCAAUAUUUUAUGAAGUUGCCUUUGUCUUCUGUUCAUCUGGCUAAUUCACCACAACAGGCCCCCCUAAUUUUGGGCCCACAGAACUCUGUCUGCCCCCUCCUUCAGGGGCCAUGUUCUUCAAUAUCAUCACUUUAUAUGUCUGAGGUUAUGCAAGUGUGAAGGGGUUUGGUUUGGUUUUGCAAUUUAUAGAGAUAAGGCUUGCUAGUCAUAAUCCUGGCACAUAAUUCCUACUGAUAAGAGUAUGAGCUUAGAAUAUGCUUUCCUGAAUAUGCUUUUGCCAUCUUUGAAUGGGAGUCAUUUUACUUUGCUUUGCAUUUCUCAUUCACACACCUUCUACAAUAGUGGUUCUCAACCUGUGAGUCCCCAGGUGUUUCGGCCUACAACUCCCAGAAAUCCUAGCCAGUUUAUCAGCCGUUAGGAUUUCUGGGAGUUGAAGGCCAAAACAUCUGGGAACCUACUGGUUGAGAACCACUGUUCUAGAAGGAAAUGGCUUGUGCCUUUGCAAUAGAUAUUCCUUACUUUGGUCUUUUACUAAUCAAGCCUUCCACUUUUGGUUGAACCUCGGGCUGUGUCUUGGUGUGGGACCUAGUGGCUUUGAGGGCGCUGCUGUCAUAACAUGUGGGGUUUGGGUACAUCUGCACUCUAGAAGUAAUGCAGUUUGACUCCCCUUAAACUGUCAUGGCUCAAUACUGUGGGAUCCUGGGAGUUUUAUAAGUUUGUAAGAUCUUUAGCCUUUUCUGGCAAAGAGUGCUGUUGCAAACUAUAUAUUCCAGGAUUCCAUAGCAUUGAGUUACAGCAGUUAGUGGUGUUAAACUCUAUCAGUUAUACGGUGUAGAUGCAUACUUAGUUAUACUCAAAUUGGGGAGUGCUUUUCUCUGCAAUAAAACUACCUACAUCAAAUAAUUGUGGAUGAAAUCCAAUUUUACACAAGUACCUUGUAUCUUACUCUUUUAGAAAAGCCUGGAUUUGUUCAAAAGAUCUUCAUAAAGUAUAUGUUUUUUUAAAAAAUGAAGGUUGAAAAGAAUGAACCAGUAGAUUCCCAGUUUACUGUGCUAUAGUUCAUUUUUUCCAGCUUCUGUGGAGUAGAGUAGAAGAUGUAAAAUAUUUCACUUGUUUUUGAAGACUCGUUCCCCCCACUUGCACAUAAUUAACAAGUCAGCACAGCUGGUUUCCAUGAAUAUUGCUAUGACUGGACAGCAUGAGAUUUUAAGCUGACACUGUUAUUUUGAGAAAUAUCUUUUAAAUUGUAUAUUCCUUUUGAACUCAGGGUGUUCAGAAUAGAGCAGGAAAAGUCUGGAAAAAUCCUAGGAACGCAUUCUCCAUUUUCUUGUCCUGGGGGUAGGGCUAUGGAUUUUUAAAACACAAAUUAACUGUAAUUUUAGCAGAUUUAAAAUAACUGUUACUUUAGGCACAUCCCUCCACAGCUUGAAAAUAUUAAAAUAUAAUUCCAAAAAGCACAUCUUAAUUUUGCUAUUUUUAUAAUAUAUUGGGACUUUAGCAUCCAUGAAUUUUGGACAUGUACAAACACAGUGGAUACCAAAAUCCAAUGUGCAUUUUUCUUUCAUUCCCAGUUACAAGGUGUAGCCUAUUCACUUUUCCUCCCCUAUGAUAGUUACAAAUAAGAUAGUAUAAUUGUUUGCGCGCAAAAUACAUGUACAGUAUUUGUACAGAUUUGGGGGGAAAACAAAUGAUUGAUUGGAACAGAGAUGAAUCCUUGACCAAAAAAAAAAACGCACAGACAACUACUGCCAAAAGCAUUGACUCAGCUACUGGGCAUGGCAUACUCUCCAAUAACCACGUAUCAUCCAGAAUGGUUGCACAUACUCUUUCUGGGCUUUCAGUUUUGUGUUUUCCUUCCCCUCCUUCCAAACAACCCAGAGCUGCUAAUUACUUUUUACUCAGUUGAAAUUUGACAUGAAUUCUAGUAGGAGUAUGCCUCAAAAUGGCUAAUCUUCUGUUUCAGUAUUAAUGAUCCAGUUUCAUUGUCUACUCUCUGUUUUUAAUAUCAGGGCAAAUCAUAUUGAACUGUAGAAUUGUAAAUAAUCUGAUAGGACUGAUGAACUAAAAUAUAUACAUGUUUGCCGACUCAACUUCUGAGUUUAAGUUUUAAGAAUGUAAUUCUUAAAUAAAGAAUUUGUUGUUAUAAAUAAAUAAAGUUUGUUGUUGUAUUUUUUCAA